GGAGUUUGGGCCGUGUCUCAGUCCCAAUGUGGCCGGUCACCCUCUCAGGUCGGCUACUGAUCGUCGGCUUGGUGGGCCGCUGCCCCGCCAACUACCUAAUCAGACGCGGGCCCAUCGUAUGCCGCCAAAGCUUUUCACACUGCACCAUGCGAUGCUGUGCGCUUAUGCGGUAUUAGCAGUCGUUUCCAACUGUUGUCCCCCUGCAUACGGCAGGUUGCCCACGCGUUACUCACCCGUCCGCCACUAAGUCAUACGGUCUUUCAUUCCGAAGAAAUCAAGUCCAUAUGCUUCGUUCGACUUGCAUGUGUUAAGCACGCCGCCAGCGUUCAUC
rnacentral:rRNA from 1 species